rnacentral:rRNA from 1 species
GAUGAACGCUGGCGGCGUGCCUAAUACAUGCAAGUCGAGCGAACAGAUAAGGAGCUUGCUCCUUUGACGUUAGCGGCGGACGGGUGAGUAACACGUGGGUAACCUACCUAUAAGACUGGGAUAACUUCGGGAAACCGGAGCUAAUACCGGAUAAUAUUUCGAACCGCAUGGUUCGAUAGUGAAAGAUGGUUUUGCUAUCACUUAUAGAUGGACCCCGCGCCGUAUUAGCUAGUUGGUAAGGUAACGGCUUACCAAGGCGACGAUACGUAGCCGACCUGAGAGGGUGAUCGGCCACACUGGAACUGAGACACGGUCCAGACUCCUACGGGAGGCAGCAGUAGGGAAUCUUCCGCAAUGGGCGAAAGCCUGACGGAGCAACGCCGCGUGAGUGAUGAAGGUCUUCGGAUCGUAAAACUCUGUUAUUAGGGAAGAACAUACGUGUAAGUAACUGUGCACGUCUUGACGGUACCUAAUCAGAAAGCCACGGCUAACUACGUG